UACGUAGGGUGCAAGCGUUGUCCGGAAUUACUGGGCGUAAAGCGCACGUAGGCGGCUUGGUAUGUCGGGUGUGAAAUCCCCGGGCUCAACCUGGGAACUGCAUCCGAAACUGCCUUGCUAGAGUAUGGGAGAGGGAAGUGGAAUUUCCGGUGUAGCGGUGAAAUGCGUAGAUAUCGGAAGGAACAUCAGUGGCGGAGGCGGGUUGCUGGGCUGACACUGACGCUGAUGCGCGAAAGCCAGGGGAGCGAACGGG
rnacentral:rRNA from 1 species